ensembl:rRNA 5S_rRNA 5S ribosomal RNA
UCUUACAGCCAUACAACCCUGAAUACUCUUGAUCUCAUCUGAUCUCUGAAGCUAAGCAGGGUUGUGCCUGAUUAGUGCUUGGAUGGGAGACCGCUUCGGAACACCAGGUGCUCUAAGCU